CGAUAGAUUUUCAAGACCGAUAGGAUGACAGUCUUCUAUUGGAAGAUGUUAUCCGGGAGUUUCAUAGAUAGCAGUCAGUCCCUGGCUUCAAAGCGCAGGCUGACUGUCUUGUUAGGAGCUAAUGCUGCCGGUGACUUUAAGCUGAAGCUAAGGCUCAUUUACCAUUCUAAAAAUCUUAGGGCCCUUAGGAAUUAUGCUAAAUCUUUUCUGCCAGUGUUCUGUAAAUGGAACGACAAAGCGUGAAUGACAGCACAUCUGUUUUACGGCAUGGAUACUGAAUAUUUGAACCCCACUAUUGAGACCUGCUCAGAAAAACAGAUUCCUUUUAGAAUGUUGCUGCUCAUUGACAAUGUACCUGGUCACCCAAAUACUCUGAUGGAGAUGUGCAAGGUGGUUAAUGUUUUCACGCCUCCUAACUCAACAUGCAUUCUGCAGCCCGUGGCUUAAGGAGUAAUUUCAGCGUUUAAGUCUCAUUUAAGAAAUACAUUUCAUAAGGGCUGUAGCUGCCGCAGAGCAUGUUUCCUCUGAUGGAUCUGGGCAAAGUCAACUGAAAACCUUCUGGAAAGGAUUCACCAUUCUCGAUGCCAUUAAAAACAUUGAUGAUUCAUAGGAGGAGGUCAGAGUGUAUCAGUAUGAUCAGGAGUUUGAAAGAAGUGGAUUCCGACCCUCAGGGAUGACUUAGAGAGAGAGGGGUUCAGACUUCAGCAGAGAAAGGAACUGCUGGGGUGGUGGAAAUAGCAAGAGAUCUAGAAUUAGAAGUGGAGCCUGAAGAUGACUGAAUCACUCUACAGUGUACAGUGACUGAAUCACUGUAGUCUCAUGAUAAAACUUGAACACAUAAGGAGUUGCUUUCUUCUGGAUGAGCAAAGAAAGCGGUUUUUUGAGGUGGAAUGUACUCCUGGUGAAGAUACUAUGAACACUGUUGAAAUGACCACAAAGGAUUUGGAAUAUUCCGUAAACUUAGUUGAUAAAACAGCGGCAGGGUUUGAGAGCAUUGACUCCAGUUUCCAAAAAACUUUUACUGUGGGUAAAAUGCUAUCAAACAAUGUCUUACACUGCAGAGAAACCUUUCACGAAAGGAAAAGUCAAUUGAUACGGCAGACUUCAUCGUUCCCUUAUUUUAAGAAAUUGCCGUAGCCACCCCAACCUUUGGCAACCACCACCCUGAUCAGUCAGCAGCCACCAACAUCGAGGCAAGACCCUCUGCCAGCAGAAAGAUUGCAACUCCCUGAAGUCUCAGAUGAUGGUUAGCAUAUUUUAGCAAUAAAAUAUUUUUAAAGUAAGAUUAUACACAUUUUUUAAAGUACAAUGCUAUGGUACACUUAAUUGACUAUAGUAUAGUGUGACCAUAACUUUUAUAUGCAUUGGGGAACCAAAAAAAAAUUCAUGUGCUUUAGUUUAAUAUUUGCUUUUUAUUGUGGUGGUCUGGAACCUAAGGGACACUUUUGCUGAGGUAUGCCUGUAUUUAGGGGCACACCCUAUAUAAACGGGAAGGCUGCCUGUUAAGUGUUUACUCCCCAUUUGAUAUCUCAAGUGAUUUGAGAUGAUUAAUUGAGAGAGGGUGCUGAUUUCAGAUGUCAAAAAACUCCCACAACACUUAGGGUUUAUCUAUAAAAUCUCAGCGCAGAAAUACACAAACAUCAAUAUUGAAGUGAUAGAAUUUUAUUUGAAAACACCACUGUGUGCUAGGCACUGUGCAUAACCUCUUUUAUUUCAGAGUAAUUGGGAUCGUAUUUUAAAUUAAAGCAUCAUAAACAAAAAAUUCAUUUCUUCACUCAGUAGUAUUCUUAGAAUAUACUUACAGAUUUUAAAUUUGAAUACCGGAUUCUUUUGAAGUGUUAUGCAAGUAUGACAGGUGACUUUUAAAAGGAUUUACUUUUUUUUUGCUUGUCAGUAUAGAUAAGAAACGAUAUAAAGUUGUUUAGAUUUAAGAACUCUGUGUUGCUGAUUAAACAGAGGUUGUCAUUUUUGUCCACAUAUUAGAAUCGCCUGAGUAAUUUUUUAAAAACAGUGAUACCUAGGUCCCUCUCUGAUCAGUUAAGUUAGACUCUCUGAAGGUGGAGACUAAACAUCUUUGGUUUUUUUCUUGCACGGCGGAGGGUGAGGAUUUGGGCCUUUUAUAUCAUACAUUUUGUGUGGCUCCUGAAGAACAGUGUUCAUCCAUUGUAGUUACAUUCACUCACUUGAACUACAGAAACUACAAUCAUGAGUUUGUUCAACACAUAUUUUAAGGUCUGCUGUGUAUCAGGCAUGAUUGCCCAAUACCUGCUCGGAGAGACUUGAUCCUUCCUCCUGAAGUUUAUAUUUUUUGUUUUUUUUGCAAAAGAUUGAGUCUUUUCAGCAUCUGAAUGCACCACUAACAGGGUCAUCUCAUUUUAUCAACAAAUUUAACCUAAGUUUUGGAUCUGGCCUAGGUUUUCCAAAUAUAUUCAUAGAGCUUGACACUUUCUCUUACUUUCAGAUUUUGUUAAAAACAAAAAAAAAUUUUUUUUUGUUUCUCCUCAACAUUCUGUAUUUGGAUUAAUUCACUGUUUCCAGCAGCCCAGUCCCACUGGUGCUCCUCUUAUAGUGCUCUUUUGCCAUUUCUCCAAGGAAUUAUUUUUGUAUACCUGUUAUAUAAAAGAAACAAAUAGUUCAUAGCUUUUCGAUUUCUAGAACCCUGAGCUUCAAAGUUAAAACCAAACAGCAUUUCUUGUUUGGAAAAAUGUGUUUAACACUAUGGAAGAAGUGGUAGCUGAGCAGGUAAUAUCGGUUAAGCCAUGGUGAUACUGUUUAAAAGUAAACCUGUCAUUCAAGAAUGAAAGAUGUGAAAUUAUUCAGGUUUUUUUUACCUGUUGUGCUUCGAACAGAGUAUAAAUGUGACAAUCUCUUUCGCAUCUUCAUACCAGUCUCUUCCUUGCCCACCAAUAAUUAUCUAAAAUCUUGAUAUAUAGAGCGUGAACACCAGGGAUAGAAUGCACAUUCAAUUAGGCAGGAGGCUCUUUGCUGACCUAAAUAACAGUUCAUUCAUGAGAUAAUGUGGCCCGCAGUCAGAUAAAAAUCUGUGGCUUGAGUUGGGAUAAACCUGGCAUAGUAUAGACUCUGCAGUGAACAGAGAAUCGUCUAAAAUUAGUGCAGGCAGAAAAAUACUGCAGAAACUUUGCAGGCCUGGUCUUGAUUUCAGGAGUAUUUCUUUCUCAAGAUAUGUGUGUACUUUGUCACCUAAACUCUUCCUGGUAAUCCUUUAAUGCUCAUUUUUUUUUUUUUACUAGUGCAGGGUGCCUUGCUAUCAAAGGAAUUGAGCAGUUAAACAAUUUAUGUAUUUUAAGGCUGAUGUUCCAUGCAUAACUUAGAGAGCUCACCUUCUGUCUCAUCUUUGGAGGGGGUGGUCAGUGUAUCUUGGGAAUUUGGGGUAGCCACAGAUUUGGUGACCAUGGUCAUCACCAAAACAUCAGUACCUGUCUGACAAGUUAAUACUGUUAAUACUGUUUUACAUAAGCAAGUGUUUGCGUUGUUCGUGAUACUUCACUUUUCGGAAGUGUGAGAUUAUCAUCUUGUUCCCUUAGGUUUCUUCCAGUAGAUCUGAGGGUAAAAUCCUAUACUGCUGAAGGGAAAUUCUAGACCACUGAAAUGACUUCACAUGCUUUUUGGAAAGAUAUGGGUAGAAAUAAAUUCAAUGUACAAGCUAGUGUAUUCACAGGGCAUAAUCUCAUGUGAUGGUUAGAGGCUUCCUGGAUCAUUUGAGUCAUAAAGGGCUUCAUUCAUUGUUUUUUGAUUUAUCUGUGUCAAAAUGGGCAAGGGUGUUGUUUUCCUUUUCUAACCAGUAAGAAAAAACUUAAAGGAAAUUUAAAAUAUUAAGUUCAAGCCUGAGCAGAGUAUGAUGGCACACCUAUAGUCCAAGCUCCUUGGGAGGCUGAGGGGAGAGGAUGGCUUGAGCCCAGGAGUUUGAGGCUGCAGUGGACUGUGUUCUGGCCACCACACUCCAGCCUGGGUGACAGAGAGAGACACUGUCUUUAAAAAUUCAGUCUUUAUUUAUUGAAGAUAUGUUUAUGGGGCAUCAGUAAAAUAUGACAAACCCCCCUGUCCUUGUAGAGUGAACAGUGCCGUUGGGGGAAAUAGAAAAUAGAUGCUAAAUAUAACAAAUAUAAAUAUAACCUUUGUAAGAAGAUGCCAUGGGUGGGGGAUGGUUAGCAGGGUAAGGGGAAUUGGGACCACCAAAUUUGGGGUGGGGUGGGGAGAAUCACAUUUUAAAUAGGAUAUCAGGGUGGGCUUUAUCCAGGAGGAGUAAUUGGAAGAAAACCAGGAAGCAGAUAAAGAAUUGAGCCGUGUGGUUUAAUUGUGUGGGGAUAGAGCAGUCCAGACAGAAGGAGAUCCAGUGGAAAUGCCGUGUAAAGCAGAGGUGCACCUUUCGUGUUGGAGGAGGAGCCGAAAGCCAGCAUGGCAGGUGCAGGGGGAGUUGGGGAGGAGUAGCAAGAGAUAAGGCCGUGGACCGUGGAGGUGAAGGGGGUCCAAACCAUGCCGGGCCUUGGAGAGAUUUAGCUUUGCUCUCAGUGGCGUGGAAUGCACUUGGAAGUAUGAUAUUUGAGCAGAGGAAGGACUGAUCUGGCUUCACUAUGCACUUUGCCAUUCAUCAGAUGUUUGAUAAUUACUCUGUCCCGCCCCUAAACUGCAUACCUCUGUUGGAACCACAUACUCAUUCCUUCAUGUUUUUCUCUCUCAAAAUUAUAGCGGUAGCUAACACUUGCUGUGUUGGGUAUUCUGCCGGUUCCUGUACAUUGAUUAACCCCCUGACCCUUACAACAGCUUUGAAUAGUAGAUGAUGUUAUCUCCAUUUUUAUAGGUGUGGAGACUGGGAGAUCAUAAAUGACGUAGGCAAGGACCUUGGGCCACACAAGUGGCAGUCCAUGCAGGCCCAGGCAGCGGUCUCCUAAUUGUUGAGGAAGGCAGGCGCGACUCGGGCUUGAGUGGUACGUUGAACAAACAGCCGCAGCUGAUGCUGGAUGUCCUCCCUCACCACUGCGACCAGUGGUGGAAGACGUUGCUGGGUUGUAAACACAACACCCAGAGUGAUGGUUUUCUUCGGUGCGUAGUAACCAUCCUGUGGCGUGAUGGAUAUUCUUGCCUACAGGUAGCAAUUAUGACGAGGGAGUUGAAUUUGCAACUUCUGCUUCACUCUCACUUCCCUCCAACAUCCAGUUAUUAGUUGUUUAAUGUCACUCUAACCUUUUUAUGGCUAUCAAUGAAGUCGUCUCAUGAAUUUGCUGUUGCAUUUCGAAAGGCGGAACCUGGGCCUCUAAUACAAAUGUAUGAGAUGAAAUAAGUGCUAAGUAGGAAGCCAUUACAGCCUCUUAUGAGAGUGCGUAAAUGUGUACAUGUGUGACAGAUUUAAAAACACUGGGCUUAUUUUAAGUCAUUAUGUUUUAUGGAAACAAGCAUUCUGAUAGCCAGUGAAAAUAUAUUUUUGGAGUGCUGGUAAAAGGCAAAUCCCCUGUUGGGGAACUUUCUUUCUGAAUUUGCUGAGUACAACUUGCUUGCCACAUGUGUAACAUCUAUAAUACGUCGCUCUUAUUAAUAUAUUGGGGCUGACUUUCUGUGUUCUGGGGAAAAUGAAAAUGCAUCUCAGUGCCCGUGUGGCAUAUAUUCUACUUUUAAAUAAGAUUCUACAUGCAAGGCAGGGAGAGUGCGAGCUAUUCGAGAAAAACAAAGACAAAACAAAACAAAACAAAAACCCCCUGCAGACAAACCAAAUCUAAAUAUUGAUUUAAUUGAAUGAUAGCUCUUUAGACAAUAUUACUUAAUACCCGCUGUUUCGCAAGCAAGAAUCUCCAUGUUCUGGAUAGUUGUAAAAAGACUAGAACAUGCUUCCCUUGUGUGUUUCAGUAGACAGAAUAGAAGGUUAGAGUCAGAUAAGGCAUGAAUUUAAAUCUCUCUCUCCCUAUUUAUUGGUUCCGUGACCUUUGGCAAGUUAUUUAACCUUCUAAAUCCCAAUCUCCCAUCUGUAAAGUGAAAAUAGUAAUACUCCGUUUGCAAGAUUUUGAGAAUUAAAAAAGAACAAUAAAUGACCCCUUCAGGUACUUUGGAAAUACUUAUUUCACUGUUGUCAAGGAUCACGCAGUAAGGGGAUGGAUGAAAAUAUGUGAUGAUCCCGUAGGAAAAAAAUUAUGAAGCAAUAAUGGACAGUCUCUGCCCAUUACUACAGUCAUUUCACAUAAUGUGGCGAUAAAAACAGAACUGAAUUGGUGUCUGUUUCCCUAAGGUUUCACACUGAGAACCUACUGUGUGCCAUGCUUGAUUCCAUAUACUGAGUACACUGGAGACCGAAAUCAUAGUCCUUGUCCUCUUAAUCCUUACAGUUUUGUGACAGAGCAGACAUUGAUUAAAUACUCACACUGAUCAGACUAAUAAAUGUCAAAUCAGAAUUGUGCUUAGUGUUAGGAAAGAGAAGAAAAUGUUAUGAAACUCUGUAAUAGGCAAGUUUGACCUAAUUAGGGAGAUCCAGAAAACCUUCCCAGGAAUUUCUUAUUUGAGACAUCUUAACUGCUCUUAAGGGUUAACUAGUUCAUAAAUUUUAUCUUUCCUAGAGGUCUUCCAAGGAACAAAGAGAAAAUUUACUAAUUUCUUUUAUGGCACAAAACAACUCAUUCUGUCUUACCAUUGCCAUAUGGUUCCGUUGGACCCUUUUAUACUUAUGAAAUACAUUGUGUAUAAAGAUACAGAUCUUUUCUGUAUCUUAAAAUGUUUUCCUGUUUCAUCAUCUGAGGACUUAGUUCAUCCUUGCUCAUCAAUACUCCCAGCCAUGCUAAAGAAAAAAAAAAAAGUAAAAAAGCAAAGAAUGUUGGAAUCAUCUGUAAGGAUGAUGUAAUAGUGAAAUAAAUGCUCAUUAUUAUGUAAUCCUUAAGUUUUCUUAUUGUAUUACCCACAGUUUUGUAUCAUCUUUCAAGAAGGUAUAAAAGAUAUCUGGAGAUAAUCAUCUUUUAUCUAAAUUUUAAACAAUCUUUAAUCCAACACAGUUGAGAAUUCAGAGUUUUAUGUUUUUUCCCAUGGUCGCAAAGAGAAGAAAACUGAUAGAGGACAAAAUCUCACAAUUACUGCGUGAUUCAGAACAUAAAUGUGAAAAGACAGAAGCACUCUAGACUCCCAUGAUAAUGGUGAAGUUGGUCGUAUAAGUGAAAUCUCAAAGUGAUUCUUCAGAUGAAGACAUCCUGGAUGAGUGCUCCUCAACUCAGGAAUCAAUUCGUCAAUAACACACUUCGAAAGACAAAAAGGAAAUACAGUAUUUUUAUCCAGUUAGUCAUUCAGUAGGAAGUACUUCAUUGUGCAACAUUUUGCAGUGAAAAACGUGGAUCAUCCUGUUUGUGCUGAAAGGAUAAGUGACAGUAUUCUUUCAUCUUUUAAGAUGGUUGAUGCCAGACAUGUACUUCAUGUGGUUCAUAAAUGGAAAAUGCCAAGUGUGUAUACGAAGGUGGUUGGAAGGAAUAUAUGACGUACGAAUGAAAUAAUCAUUGGAUUGUCAUUCUCAUUGAUUUUGCUAAAUCCAAGUGAAAUUGUUCUUUGAUUAUUAAGCUAGGAGGAAGAUGGCUAUCCUCUUGUAAGUAAAGUUAUGAGCCAUCAAAAUUUUCAAAGACACUUCAUUUUUAUAUUAGAAGUGCAAGCAGAACCAGCAUUAAUUAGAAUCUGUUAGAGAUGAAACCUGGAAUUGACAUGUGCAGAGUGGGUGUUCAGCAGGCAGAAUGGGAGGGAAGAGAAUAUCAGGUAGAGGGAACAAGACAUGCAAAGACCCUGAGGUAGGAGAGAGAAUGCUUCACUGGAGGGACUAAGGGAAGGCUCACGUGGCUGGAAUGCAGGGAGAGCGGACUGCAGGAUGAGUCUGUACAAGGAAGCAGGCACAUGUGACCAAGCACUUUGUAUGCACGUUGAGAAUUUACGCCCAGAUCCUAAAAGCAAGAGAAGCCAUCAGAGGAUUUUAAGCAGAGGGGCAGGCUUGGAUUUCAAAAAAA